rnacentral:rRNA from 1 species
UGCAUCGGAACGUACCCAGUAGUGGGGGAUAGCCCGGCGAAAGCCGGAUUAAUACCGCAUAUUUCCUGAGGGAGAAAGCGGGGGACCUUCGGGCCUCGCGCUACUGGAGCGGCUGAUGUCGGAUUAGCUAGUUGGUGGGGUAAAGGCCUACCAAGGCGACGAUCCGUAGCUGGUCUGAGAGGAUGAUCAGCCACACUGGGACUGAGACACGGCCCAGACUCCUACGGGAGGCAGCAGUGGGGAAUUUUGGACAAUGGGCGAAAGCCUGAUCCAGCCAUGCCGCGUGAGUGAAGAAGGCCUUCGGGUUGUAAAGCUCUUUCAGGUGGAAAGAAAUCACUACCCCGAAUACGGGUGGUGGAUGACGGUACCAUCAGAAGAAGCACCGGCUAACUACGUG